rnacentral:rRNA from 1 species
GUCUAUUCUGCCCAUUGAGUAAMAGUUCUUAAAAGGCCGCGGUAUUCUAACAUGUGCAAAGGUAGCAUAAUCAUUAGUUUCUUAAUUGGAGGCUUGUAUGAAUGAUUGGAUAAAAAUUGAACUGUCUUUUCUUAAUAAAUUGAAUUUUAUUUUUGAGUGAAAAAGCUCAAAUAAAUCAGGGGGACGACAAGACCCUAUAAAUCUUUAUGAAGAUUUUCUUGUUUAAUGAAAUAUAAAUUGUUAAAUGUUAAUAAGAAACAAAUUCAUUAUACUGGGGCGGUAGAGAUAUAAAAAAACUAUUUAAAAAUAAAACAAAAUAUAUUUGUAAAGUAAAAGAUCUUAGUUAUAGAUUUAAAGAAUAAGUUACUUUAGGGAUAACAGCAUAAUUUUUCUUAAGAGUCCAAAUCGAAAGAAAAGUUUGUGACCUCGAUGUUGAAUUAAAAAUUCCU